CCGAACGGACGGACGCAACGCCCGGUCUCCACCUGCCCCAAUCCCGACUCCAGGCCGUCAUCCCCAACACACCAUGAGGACGAAGAUGGCGGCGGCGCUGGUCCGGGCCUCUGGGGGGAUCGGACCUCCUACGCCUGACCGAUCCUCCUACUUCUCCUCGCGCUGCUCCUCGCUGUCCCCGCUCGCGGCCAUCUCCAACGCCUCCUCCCACGCCUAUGCCUUCGCGGGCCGUCAGCCGGUGCCCGCCCCGUAUCCCACCUUCUUCGACGAUGUCGUUGACGCCAUCGUCGACAAGUACGGCUGGGAUCCCGACACCGAGGUCCGGGUUUGGCUGCUCGACGCCAAGGGCGCGCUCGUCGACGCCGUGCAGUGCUACAAGUUCCCCGCCCGCGUGGGGCCCCGCGGUCGCGCUGGCGCAGGCCUCCGACGGGGCCGUCGACUGGAGACGCCCCGACGCCCGCGCGGUGGAGGAGGUGGUCGGGCCUGACGGGGUCGACUUCGUGACCAGCGAUGGCGACCUGGCGUUCGGCUCCGGCGUUACGGUCCGUGACAUGGUAGGGCCGCUCGAGCUGGUGGUCUGCGAUGGCGCUGGCAGGGGCCGCGCAGAGCUCCAGUUGCCGUCGUUCCGCAAGCUGCGGCACACAUGGUCUGCCUUCGUGUUGUCCUACCUGCUUCAGGGCCCUCUACUUCUUCCCCCAAGAUUGCCAUUAUGAUUAAAAAAUCUGAAGAGAGCAAUUUAAUUGGUAACACAUCAUAUUUAUUCUGCAACUGCAUGUGAAUUCUCAUCUUGCGCCUACCUCUUUUGCUUACCAGGUUGCAAAAUUUCAUUAACUUAUUUGUCGAAGUAUCCUGCAAAAUCAUUUCUCUUGUGGGAAUUAGCCUAUUGUAUUGAUCUAACAAGGUCCACUUGAACCUACAUAACAACUAUGCAGUGAAGAUGGAGAGCUUUAGGCAAAAAAAGAAAGAAAAAACUAGCACGUGAUCUAUGGAGAAUAAUUUUGACAGCAACUUCAACUAUGCAAUGGAGUACACUUGAUGCAAUCAAUUCUGGUGUGUUUGUGAUGCAAUGACGUAUGAAUAACGACAGAAAAAUAUGCCUGAGGAGUAUGGGUAUGUAGUAACAUUUCUCUGUUAUUUUUGGAACAACUUGGAAUAUCUUAUUGGUAGUUUAUAUACAAAGUCAUUUUGAUAAUUAUCAUGCUGCAAACCUACAUAGUUUUCUAUAUUAAUCAUGUCAUGCUAAAAUAUAAAAGUUAUAGCUUCAAUAAAUUGAUAAAAUACAGAUUUGGGCUUUACAUAUUUAUUGAAUAUAUAUUUACGUAUGAAUACGUCAUUACGGUCGGACUCUAGCGAGGAUCAGUGGUUGUUAUACCCCACCAGGUAACUUGCUACUGUUGGUGAAACUCUCUUGUGAAGAAACGCCGAUCUUGAAAUCUUGAUCCUACUUAUAGGCCGUAUUGCAAGCAAUGUACUCAUGUUUUACUGAACAUGUAGGUAACAUGAAAUUUUGAUCUUCUCCCAUCACUGAAAGUUGUGUUUUAAACUUGCAAAAGCAUUGCUAAGCCUAUUCAAUCAUUUCUAUUUUACCCUAGAUUUCACUCCAUAGCAUAAUUGAGAUACAAAUGGGCGUUACUGAUGUCGAGGAGAAUAGUUAGAAGCUCUUGGAUAGAGAAUCUGAGAUUUAUAUAGGUUCAGUAGAACAAAAAGUUUCGGAUUCACUACUCCAGAUACAACGAUGCGGUAUAUAUAGUUAACUUCGUACUUUAUAUUACAUAUUUUUCUUCCUCCAAUAGUUCUUCGGAUAUAAUCUACACCUGAAACAAUAAAUUGUUAAAAGCAAGGAAGAGUAACAAGUUCUGCAAAUUAGUUUCAUCAGGAGAGAACUGGCUGAAAUGAAGCUAAUACCGAUGUACUGAAUAUCCUGCAGUGGUUAGUAUACUAAAGAGUAAAACUGCAUGUUUUUGUCAUAUCUGAAACCCUUUUCUGCUCCAUACUUUAUGUAAACAAUGCCUGUGCAUUGGCAUAAGAACCAUAGAUUGAAAAAUCAUCAUCCAUUGUCAUUCGUCACCCUGGCAAUGAUGCAUUUGCUAUUCAGAAGACUUCUUGUCCGGUUUAGUGUGUGAUUUGUUACUAUGAUAAGGAAACAUUUCCUCAACCCAUCUUUCACUACACACACAGGUUGCAUAGAGGAGUAUAAGGAUUUCUUCAUCGGGCUAGUCCACGUGGAAGAUGUCGCGUUAGCCCAUAUCACGCUGUUUGAAAACCCGGCUGCAUCCAGGAGGCACCUCUGUGUGGAGCCCAUAUGUCACUUGAGCGAUCUCGCGUCCCAAGUCGCGGAGCUCUACCCUGACUACGAAGUCCCGAAUUUGGUCGGCAGAUUACCUGAGGACACGCAUCCUGGGCUGGUGAGGGUGGAGGCGGUGCCGAAGAAGCUGAUGGCACUGGGCCUGCAUUUCACUCCUUUGGAAAAGAUCAUCAAGGAUGUGGUGGAGAGCCUUCGGAGAAGAGGAUGCAUCGCCUGAAGGCUGGAUUAUUAGUUGUACCAUAUUCCUUCCCUUCUGUUGUAGGGUCAUGAUCAACCCUUGCUCCAGAGAUGUGUUGUGCCCAACCCAGUGCUAGACCUUAUAGUUGCCUGUAUGAUUGUGCAAUAACAGCUGGUUGAUCUACUGGUACACCUGUCUAUUCUUGCUAGAUACUUGCGGCUCUUAAAUUGUUCAUUUCCAUUCUUCA